rnacentral:lncRNA from 1 species
GUGAACUAGACUUUCGGUAUCCAAUACCAAGAUAGUAGUGUCACAUAUAGAGAAAUUAUAAGGUAUUAUUAUAUAAGUACCUUGACCAGUAACUAAUUGCUCAUUUAUCUUUAACCUAUUUGUGUCAUAGUCUGCUUGACUCAAUUCAAUCCUAAACUUUUUAGCUAGAUUGUGUUCAAGACCCACUAUAAGAAAAAAUAUUUUCCACAAUGUUUAAAAGCAUCACCAAAAGUUCUCCAAAACAUCGUUAAAAUCUUUUCACGAUGUUUGGCAUAACGUCACCA